rnacentral:rRNA from 1 species
GAUGAACGCUGGCGGCGUGCCUAAUACAUGCAAGUCGAGCGAACAGACGAGGAGCUUGCUCCUCUGACGUUAGCGGCGGACGGGUGAGUAACACGUGGAUAACCUACCUAUAAGACUGGGAUAACUUAGGGAAACCGGAGCUAAUACCGGAUAAUAUAUUGAACCGCAUGGUUCAAUAGUGAAAGACGGUUUUGCUGUCACUUAUAGAUGGAUCCGCGCCGCAUUAGCUAGUUGGUAAGGUAACGGCUUACCAAGGCGACGAUGCGUAGCCGACCUGAGAGGGUGAUCGGCCACACUGGAACUGAGACACGGUCCAGACUCCUACGGGAGGCAGCAGUAGGGAAGCUUCCGCAAUGGGCGAAAGCCUGACGGAGCAACGCCGCGUGAGUGGUGAAGGUCUUCGGAUCGUAAAACUCUGUUAUUAGGGAAGAACAAAUGUGUAAGUAACUAUGCACGUCUUGACGGUACCUAAUCAGAAAGCCACGGCUAACUACGUG